CUUCUAGUACACGCUGAAAUCAAAUCAAACACAAGUGCUAAUUGUGAGUACUAUCUUGUACUAUCUUGUGUUACAAGAUAGUACAAGUAUACUAAAAAUAUCUAGUUUAAAAAAAAAGUCACCAACCGAAGACCAAGAUGUGGUACUUGAUUGAUUAUGUGCAGCUGGGAGUCAACAUAUUGUAGAAGAUGAAGAUGAACUAUGAACAGUAUUCCAAAAUUCCGAUUGUAUUAAAGAUGUAGUGGGAUAUAUCGGUGGAUUUUUGGUGAGAUCCAUUUUAAAGCGUAUUCGGUGUGAAGUUUGUGCUAAAGAAAUAAAAUCACAUGAAACAAAUUCACUAUUACUGAAUAAAAAAAAAUAUUGGCGGGCUUACAAUGGCCAAUGCUGAUGUAGUUAGUAUAUGUCAGGUAGCAAAACGUACUGUAAAGGAAUAGCUUUACGUACUAUAUAAUAUAAUGUAUAUGUAGGUAACCGGUUCACAUAUUAGUGUAUAAGUGUUAUUCUACUCGCAGAGGCAGUUCUCCUCGAGUUGUUAUGGUCUCUUAGACGUAACCUCAUAGUUAGAACCACAUUCUAUUUUGGCAAGCUAAUCAAGAGGAGCGGGCAACAACAAGUUAUCAUUACGAGGCGGCGGUUGCGAGAAUAACAACUUAUUGAACCAGCUACAUCCACUUCAAGGACAUCCUGUCCACGCGCAGGAUCCAUCAAAGGAACCGACAUCAUAUAUAGGAGGGCUGGGAACACAGUAAAGACAGAUGUACCUGGACCAGCAACACAGAAGCGACUUCAUGCCACUAGCCAUAUACAGGACUACUACUACUACUACUAUUACCACGACGAUAUUAUACAUUUCAUUCUGUUAUAAUAAAAACAUUGCAUUUAUAAAUCUAAUUUGACUACUAUUAUUUUCAAAUCAUCUACAUAGUGAAUCCCUGAAGGGGCAGCACGUAACACUGGCGCAGUCGGUAGGAUAUUCAUUCAAAGGAGGCAACCGUCAAAGGCUACAGUCAACAAGGAGGAAUUGAUCACUCUUUCAAGGCGACAACUCUGCAGAAGAACCCACACAAAACAAAUAAGUCACAUUGCAGCACCAUCAAAUUCAUCAGCAUCAAGGAACACCGCUUUAUUGUAAUCAAAAUUGUAUAUUGUUAUGUAUUCUAAAAAAAAACAAAUGCAACAAAAUGUAAUUAAAUAAGUAUUGUAAAUUACAUUAUAAUUGUAAAAUGUCAUAAAAUAUGUAUAAAAAAUUGUAACCUAUUAUAACAGAAUUGUAAAUGUAAAACAUAUAUAUAUCAAUUAUUGUAACUUGUUAUAAACAAGAUUGUAAUGAAAUGUAAAUAUUAUAACAAAUUGUAAAUGUAAAUGUAUAUCAAAAUUGUAAAAUCGACUACUGUUGACUUAAAUAUCAUUGUUAAAGAUUCUUAGCCUUACAGGCUAAUAAUCUUUUUUUUGGCAGGGAGGUGUAAAGGAAUAGCUUUACGUACUAAUAUAAUGUAUAUGUAGGUAACCGGUUCACGUAUUAGUGUAUAAGUGUUAUUCUACUCGCAGAGGCAGUUCUCCUUGAGUUGUUAUGGUCUCUUAGACGUAACCUCAUAGUUAGAAACCACAUUCUAUUUUGGCAAGCUAAUCAAGAGGAGCGGGCAACAAAAAGUUAUCAUUACGAGGCGGCGGUUGCGAGAAUAACAACUUAUUGAACCAGCUACAUCCACUUCAAGGACACCCUGUCCACGUGCAGGAUCCAUCAAAGGAACCGACAUCAUAUAUAGGAGGGCUGGGAACACAGUAAAGACAGAUGUACCUGGACCAGCAACGCAGAAGUGACUUCAUGCCACUAGCCAUAUACAGGACUACUACUAUUACUACUAUUACCUCGACGAUAUUAUACAUUUCAUUCUGUUAUAAUAAAAACAUUGCAUUUAUAAAUCUAA